rnacentral:rRNA from 1 species
GUGGGGAAUAUUGCACAAUGGGGGAAACCCUGAUGCAGCGACGCCGCGUGAGUGAAGAAGUAUUUCGGUACGUAAAGCUCUAUCAGCAAGGAAGAAAAUGACGGUACUUGACUAAGAAGCCCCGGCUAACUACGUGCCAGCAGCCGCGGUAAUACGUAGGGGGCAAGCGUUAUCCGGAUUUACUGGGUGUACAGGGAGCGUAGACGGUAUGGUAAGUCAGAUGUGAAAGCCCGGGGCUCAACCCCGGGACUGCAUUUGAAACUAUCAGACUAGAGUGCAGGAGAGGUAAGUGGAAGUCCUAGUGUAGCGGUGAAAUGCGUAGAUAUUAGGAGGAACACCAGUGGCGAAGGCGGCUUACUGGACUGUAACUGACGUUGAGGCUCGAAAGCGUGGGGAGCAAACAGGAUUAGAAACCCCGGUAGUCC